rnacentral:rRNA from 1 species
UACGAAGGGGGCUAGCGUUGUUCGGAGUUACUGGGCGUAAAGGGCGCGUAGGCGGCGCACCAAGUCAGGCGUGAAAGCCCUGGGCUCAACCCGGGAAUUGCGCUUGAGACUGGUGUGCUUGAGUACGGGAGAGAAUAGUGGAAUUCCCAGUGUAGAGGUGAAAUUCGUAGAUAUUGGGAAGAACACCGGUGGCGAAGGCGGCUAUCUGGACCGUAACUGACGCUGAGGCGCGAAAGCGUGGGGAGCAAACAGG